CUGCCUUUCUGUCUGUCUGUAUCUUUAUGUCCAUCUGUCUGCUUGUCUGUCUAACUAUCUACCUGUCUGUCUAACUAUCUACCCGUCUGUCUAACUAUCUACCCGUCUGUCUAACUAUCUACCUGUCUGUCUAACUAUUUACCUGUCUGUCUGCCUGUCUAGAUGUCCGGCCGUCCGGCCGUCCUCCAGGCAGCCCAGCCUUCACCUGCUGUGCUCCGGGGACAUCAAGAGGAGGAGGAAGACUACCUUCCUGCCCAGCACCUCCUCAGUAUGCAUACCCUUCCUGAAAGAUGUCCUGAGAGAAGAGAUGCCAGCCUCCACCCCGGCCUCCACCCCGGCCUCCACCCCUAUGGUCAUGGCGGCUGCUGCAGUAAGGGGGCCAGGGGCCUCCACCCUUCAUCAGCUGGGCUCCUCCAGGCCUUGACAGCAGCAGGAGGUGAAGGGAGCCUUCCCAGCCUGGCUGGUGGACGGAGGCCCUAUUGGGACAAAUUAAGACACAUGGCUUAAACUCCUCCUGCUGAGUGGGAUUUUUGAGAAGGAAAAAUAUUAAAUAUAUCAAGAAUACCUGGGUUAC